rnacentral:rRNA from 1 species
UACGAGAGCCUCGAGCGUUAUCCGGAAUUAUUGGGCGUAAAGGGUGCGUAGGUUGUUCUGUUAGUCUUUUGUUAAAGCCCCCGAGCUUAACUUGGGAACCGCGAAAGAAACGGCAGAACUUGAAAGUGCGAGAGGUAUACGGAACUCAUGGUGUAGGGGUGAAAUCUGUUGAUAUCAUGGGGAACACCGAAAGCGAAAGCAGUAUACUGGCGCAUAUUUGACACUGAAGCACGAAAGCGUGGGUAGCGAAUGGG